GACAGAGGGUGCAAACGUUGUUCGGAAUUACUGGGCGUAAAGCGUGCGCAGGCGGUUUUGUAAGUCUGACGUGAAAGCCCCGGGCUUAACCUGGGAAUUGCGUUGGAGACUGCAAGGCUUGAGGGCGGUAGGGGCUGGUGGAAUGCCUGGUGUGGUGGUGAAAUGCGUAGAGAUCAGGCGGAACACCCGUGGCGAAGGCGGCCAGCUGGGCCGUCCCUGACGCUGAGGCGCGAAGGCGUGGGGAGCGAACGGG
rnacentral:rRNA from 1 species